rnacentral:rRNA from 1 species
ACGGGGGGUGCAAGCGUUGUUCGGAAUCAUUGGGCGUAAAGAGCGUGUAGGCGGCUAGGUAAGUCAGAUGUGAAAUCCUUGGGCUUAACCAAGGAAGUGCAUUUAAAACUGUUAAGCUAGAGUAUGGAAGAGGGAGAUGGAAUUUCUGGUGUAGAGGUUAAAUUCGUAGAGAUCAGAAGGAACACCGAUGGCGAAGGCGACCUACUGGACCAAUACUGACGCUGAGCUGCGAGAGCGUGUGGAGCAAACAG